rnacentral:rRNA from 1 species
CCCGCACAAGCGGUGGAGCAUGUGGUUUAAUUCGAUGCAACGCGAAGAACCUUACCUGGCCUUGACAUCCAGAGAACUUAGCAGAGAUGCUUUGGUGCCUUCGGGAACUCUGAGACAGGUGCUGCAUGGCUGUCGUCAGCUCGUGUUGUGAAAUGUUGGGUUAAGUCCCGCAACGAGCGCAACCCUUAUCCUUUGUUGCCAGCGGCUCGGCCGGGAACUCAAAGGAGACUGCCGGUGAUAAACCGGAGGAAGGUGGGGAUGACGUCAAGUCAUCAUGGCCCUUACGGCCAGGGCUACACACGUGCUACAAUGGCGCAUACAAAGAGAAGCGACCUCGCGAGAGCAAGCGGACCUCAUAAAGUGCGUCGUAGUCCGGAUUGGAGUCUGCAACUCGACUCCAUGAAGUCGGAAUCGCUAGUAAUCGUAGAUCAGAAUGCUACG